rnacentral:misc_RNA from 1 species
UUUUCUAAAUAAUAAAAAAAACAACAAAAAUUUAAUAUGAAAAAAUAUAUUU